GGUGUGUAAGCGCAGCGAUGCGUUGAGCUAACCGAUACUAAUGAACCGUGAGGCUUAACCUUACAACGCCGAAGC
rnacentral:rRNA from 1 species